AUCUUUGUAUCGUUGUUUUGUUUCUAUUAAUAUAGAUUUAAUCUAUUAGGAUGGAAUGCAAAAGGGUAAUCAGGUGAAAGACCUGGACAGACCCGCUACUGUAAGCAAUUGUUUCGAUAAGAAGCAUUGUAAGUCAGAAAACCUGCAAAACAAUAUAAAUACUU
rnacentral:ncRNA from 1 species